rnacentral:rRNA from 1 species
UACGUAGGGUGCAAGCGUUGUCCGGAAUUAUUGGGCGUAAAGAGCUCGUAGGCGGUUUGUUGCGUCGGCUGUGAAAUCCCGAGGCUCAACCUCGGGUCUGCAGUCGAUACGAGCAAACUAGAGUGUUGCAGGGAGACUGGAAUUCCUGGUGUAGCGGUGAAAUGCGCAGAUAUCAGGAGGAACACCGGUGGCGAAGGCGGCGACCUGGUCCGAUACUGACGCUGAGGCGCGAAAGCGUGGGAGCAAACAGG